rnacentral:tRNA from 1 species
GCCGAUUUAGUAUAGUGGUAAUACAGGUGCAUGGUAAGCAUCAGCGGGCAGUUCAAUUCUGCCAUUCGGCACCA